AAGGGUUUAGGUAAGACAUUAAGACCGAGAGCCUUCAAAGCUCUAAGCGGAGGUGAAAGGCCUCCAACCCUUG
rnacentral:tRNA from 1 species